rnacentral:rRNA from 1 species
GACGAACGCUGGCGGCGUGCCUAAUACAUGCAAGUCGAGCGGACUGAAUGGGAGCUUGCUCUUGUUCGGUCAGCGGCGGACGGGUGAGUAACACGUGGGCAACCUGCCCGCAAGACCGGGAUAACUCCGGGAAACCGGAGCUAAUACCGGAUAACACCGAAGACCGCAUGGUCUUUGGUUGAAAGGCGGCGCAAGCUGCCACUUGCGGAUGGGCCCGCGGCGCAUUAGCUAGUUGGUGAGGUAACGGCUCACCAAGGCGACGAUGCGUAGCCGGCCUGAGAGGGGGGCCGGGCAAGCGGGGAGUGGGGCACGGCGCAGACGCCAACGGGAGGGAGCAGUAGGGAAUCUUCCGCAAUGGGCGAAAGGCUGACGGGGAGGGGCCGCGGGAGCGAAGAAGGCCUUCGGGUGGAAAAGAUCGGUGGUGAGGGACGAAGGAGGGCCGUUUGAAGAAGGCGGGGGGGUGACGGUACCUCACGAGGAAGCCCCGGCUAACUACGUG